rnacentral:rRNA from 1 species
GCGAGACGGUGACGUUAAGCAAAUCCCAGAAAUAACGUCCCAGUUCGGAUUGUAGUCUGCAACCCGACUACAUGAAGCUGGAAUCGCUAGUAAUCGCGAAUCAGAAUGUCGCGGUGAAUACGUUCCCGGGUCUUGUACACACCGCCCGUCACACCAUGGGAGUCGGAAAUGCCCGAAGUCAGUGACCCAACCGUAAGGAGGGAGCUGCCGAAGGUGGAGCCGGUAACUGGGGUGAAGUCGUAACAAGGUACC